UACGUAGGGUGCAAGCGUUGUCCGGAAUUAUUGGGCGUAAAGAGCUCGUAGGCGGUCUGUCGCGUCUGCUGUGAAAAUCCAGGGCUCAACCCUGGACCUGCAGUGGGUACGGGCAGACUAGAGUGCGGUAGGGGAGAUCGGAAUUCCUGGUGUAGCGGUGAAAUGCGCAGAUAUCAGGAGGAACACCGGUGGCGAAGGCGGCUCACUGGACCGGUACUGACGCUGAUGCGCGAAAGCGUGGGGAGCAAACGGG
rnacentral:rRNA from 1 species